rfam:Punica granatum cultivar Dabenzi scaffold123, whole genome shotgun sequence.
UGCAUUUGUCGGGCAUGGAGUCUGAAGAACUCGCAGAUUGUGUGUUGUCUAUCAGCUUCUUCCCUUGUUAAUCCCACGGGAUUGGAGUUAAAUAACAGCACUACAUUU